CUUGGUUUUUUGCAUUUUAUUAUACAUAAAAGGCCAUGUGGCACCGUCUUCCACUGAUUCUGGCUCGUCUGGGAACAUCAUAAUUGAUUUCUAUUGGGGUAUGGAACUCUAUCCUCGCAUUGGUAAAAACUUCGACAUUAAAGUUUUUACAAAUUGCAGAUUUGGAAUGAUGUCUUGGGCAGUUCUAGCUGUAACCUAUUGCAUAAAGCAGGUAGCGUCUAUGGGAUAGUUGUGAAUUAUGCCUAAUUAUGUCAGUAAUUCAGCAUCACUUUGUUUAUGUCCAUGGUGUUGGUUGAUGUGCCAGUUGCAAUAUGAAUUGCAUUUUAGGUUUG